CCAAGGUGAGCUUAGGGAGGCCAGAAACCUCCCGUGGAGCAGAAGGGCAAAAGCUCGCUUGAUCUUGAUUUCAGUGUCAACAGUUAAUUUCCAGCACCAGUG
rnacentral:ncRNA from 1 species